rnacentral:rRNA from 1 species
UACGUAGGGGGCAAGCGUUGUCCGGAAUCAUUGGGCGUAAAGAGCGUGUAGGCGGUCCGGUAAGUCCGCUGUGAAAGUCAGGGGCUCAACCCUUGAAUGCCGGCGGAAACUGCCGGACUAGAGUCCGGAAGAGGCGAGUGGAAUUCCAGGUGUAGCGGUGAAAUGCGUAGAUAUCUGGAGGAACACCGGUGGCGAAGGCGGCAUCCUGGACCACGACUGACGCUGAGGAGCGAAAGCCAGGGGAGCAAACGGG